GACGAACGCUGGCGGCGUGCUUAACACAUGCAAGUCGAACGGUAAGGCCCUUCGGGGUAUACGAGUGGCGAACGGGUGAGUAACACGUGGGUGAUCUGCCCUGCACUUCGGGAUAAGCCUGGGAAACUGGGUCUAAUACCGGAUAGGACCACUGCCUGCAUGGGUGGUGGUGGAAAGCUUUUGCGGUGUGGGAUGGGCCCGCGGCCUAUCAGCUUGUUUGUGGGGUGAUGGCCUACCAAGGCGACGACGGGUAGCCGGCCUGAGAGGGUGACCGGCCACACUGGGACUGAGAUACGGCCCAGACUCCUACGGGAGGCAGCAGUGGGGAAUAUUGCACAAUGGGCGCAAGCCUGAUGCAGCGACGCCGCGUGAGGGAUGACGGCCUUCGGGUUGUAAACCUCUUUCAGCACCGACGAAGCGCAAGUGACGGUAGGUGCAGAAGAAGGACCGGCCAACUACGUGCCAGUCGCCGCAGUAA
rnacentral:rRNA from 1 species